GACGAACGCUGGCGGCGUGCCUAAUACAUGCAAGUCGAACGCUGAAGGAGGAGCUUUCUUCUCUGGAUGAUUUCCGAACGGGUGAGUAACACGUAUGUAACCCGCCUCUUAGCGGGGGAUAACUAUUGGAGACGAUAGCUAUUACCGCAUAAUAUUAGAUGUUGCAUGACAUUUACCUAAAAGAUGCAGUUUCGUCGCUACCUGAUGGUCGUGCGGUGUAUUAGUUAGUUGGUGGGGUGACGGCUCACCAACGCGACGAUACAGCGCCGCCCUUAGAGGGUGGUCGGCCACACUGGGACUGAGACCAGGCCCCGAAUGCUUAGGGGAGCAGCAGUAGGGAAUCUUUGGCAAUGGACGGAAGUCUGAACGAGGAAAGGCGCGGGAGUGAAGAAGGGUUUCGGAUCGUAAAGAUCUGUUGUAAGAGAAGAACGAGUGUGAGAGUGGAAAGUGCACACUGUGACGGUAUCUUACCAGAAAGGGACGGCUAACUACGUG
rnacentral:rRNA from 1 species